GUGAGGGCCAAGAGGAAAGACGGGAAUAGUCAGAUUGUUACACGACAAACUCUCUUGCCUUUUACCAUUCAAACCUUUUGAUGGGAGGAGAAGCCCCGGUGCUCUGAAUCACCACUCGGUCCCAAGGCCCGAGACCCUUGGAGGGGUAGAACCAUGUGUACCACCCUUACGGUCCUCACCGCCAUCGCUCUCCUCCUGCACCAGAGAUUCAAGAAAAGCAAAAUCAAACCGCAGCAAGAGGCCAUUGAGAGAGACGUGCCAUACAUGAAGAGCAAUGGAGCAGCAGAAACCCAAAAAUGACAACAGUGAGCAUCACAGGGCAUGACCAGAGUUAAGUCGGGUCAACAUCAGUGACCUCAACUGCUCUCUCUCGUUGAUCAGGUUCUGAUUUGUGUGCACUUGACAGCUCACGCUAAGACUCUAAGACUGGGACUAAAAAAACAAUGAGGCCUGUUUUGAUCCUGGCUUCCCCUGUGUGUCCUGCAGAUGUGUGAAUUCCAGCUUGGAAACUGAAGCCUGACAAAUGCUUCGUAUUCGUCAUGAAAACUGAAUUUACAAUAUUGUCACUUCAAAGUUGGUUGUUUGAUCAGGGUAUAAAUGGAUAAAACACGUUGUGUGCCUCUGCAUAAAAACAAGCAGUAAUCAUUUUGUUGAUUUUUCUGUUUUUAAAACUGUAAUGUUGUGUUGUUU